AUACUUACCUGGCGUAGGGGAUACCGUGAUCAUGCAGGCGGUUCCCCCAGGGCGAGACUGCUCCAUUGCAUUGCGGAGUGGUUGACCCUUGCGAUAAUUUUUAUUUUUAUCAAUAAAAAAAUCAUAAUAAAUAAUAUAUACCCGAAUAAUUUAAUUUCUUUAUA
rnacentral:snRNA from 1 species